rnacentral:rRNA from 1 species
GGAAUCUUCCGCAAUGGGCGAAAGCCUGACGGAGCGACGCCGCGUGAGCGAAGAAGGCCUUCGGGUCGUAAAGCUCUGUUGUGAGGGACGAAGGAGCGCCGUUCGAAGAGGGCGGCGCGGUGACGGUACCUCACGAGAAAGCCCCGGCUAACUACGUGCCAGCAGCCGCGGUAAUACGUAGGGGGCGAGCGUUGUCCGGAAUUAUUGGGCGUAAAGCGCGCGCAGGCGGUCUCUUAAGUCUGAUGUGAAAGCCCACGGCUCAACCGUGGAGGGUCAUUGGAAACUGGGGGACUUGA